rnacentral:rRNA from 1 species
UACGUAGGGUGCAAGCGUUAAUCGGAAUUACUGGGCGUAAAGCGUGCGCAGGCGGUUCGCUAAGACAGAUGUGAAAAUCCCCGGGCUUAACCUGGGAACUGCAUUUGUGACUGGCGGGCUAGAGUAUGGCAGAGGGGGGUAGGAAUUCCACGUGUAGCAGUGAAAUGCGUAGAGAUGUGGAGGAAUACCGAUGGCGAAGGCAGCCCCCUGGGCCAAUACGUGACGCUCAUGCACGAAAGCGUGGGGAGCAAACAGG